GACGAACGCUGGCGGCGUGCUUAACACAUGCAAGUCGAACGGUAAGGCCCUUCGGGGUACACGAGUGGCGAACGGGUGAGUAACACGUGGGUGAUCUGCCCUGCACUUCGGGAUAAGCCUGGGAAACUGGGUCUAAUACCGGAUAGGACCACUGCCUGCAUGGGUGGUGGUGGAAAGCUUUUGCGGUUGGGGAUGGGCCCGCGGCCUAUCAGCUUGUUGGUGGGGUGAUGGCCUACCAAGGCGACGACGGGUUGCCGGCCUGAGAGGGUGACCGGCCACACUGGGACGGAGAUACGGCCCAGACUCCUACGGGAGGCAACAGUGGGGAAUAUUGCACAAUGGGCGCAAGCCUGAUGCAGCGACGCCGCGUGAGGGAUGACGGCCUUCGGGUUGUAAACCUCUUUCAGCACCGACGAAGCGCAAGUGACGGUAGGUGCAGAAGAAGGACCGGCCAACUACGUGCCAGCAGCCGCGGUAA
rnacentral:rRNA from 1 species